GAUGAACGCUAGCGAUAGGCUUAACACAUGCAAGUCGAGGGGCAGCACAAGGUAGCUUGCUAUCUGGGUGGCGACCGGCGCACGGGUGCGUAACGCGUAUGCAACUUGCCCUAUACAGGAGGAUAACCCGUCGAAAGACGGACUAAUACUGCGUAUGCUCACAACUUGGCAUCAAGUGGUGAGGAAAGAAAUUCGGUAUAGGAUAGGCAUGCGUCCCAUUAGCUUGUUGGUGAGGUAACGGCUCACCAAGGCAACGAUGGGUAGGGGAACUGAGAGGUUUAUCCCCCACACUGGGACUGAGACACGGACCAGACUCCUACGGGAGGCAGCAGUGAGGAAUAUUGAUCAAUGGGCGCGAGCCUGAACCAGCCAAGUCGCGUGAAGGAUGACUGUCUUAUGGAUGGUAAACUUCUUUUAUACGGGAAUAACAAGAGUCACGUGUGACUCCCUGCAUGUACCGUAUGAAUAAGCAUCGGCUAACUCCGUG
rnacentral:rRNA from 1 species